GGAAAGACCCGUUAGGGUGGGAGUUUCAAGUCUGCUGUCAAAGACAGUAGCUCAACUACUGAAAGGCAGUGGAAACUGAACAGCUAGAGUACGGUAGGGGCAGAGGGAAUUCCCGGUGUAGCGGUGAAAUGCGUAGAUAUCGGGAAGAACACCGGUGGCGAAAGCGCUCUGCUGGGCCGUAACUGACACUGAGGGACGAAAGCUAGGGGAGCGAAUGGGAUUAGAUACCCCAGUAGUCCUAGCCGUAAACGAUGGAAACUAGGUGUAGCCUGUAUCGACCCGGGCUGUGCCGAAGCUAACGCGUUAAGUUUCCCGCCUGGGGAGUACGCACGCAAGUGUGAAACUCAAAGGAAUUGACGGGGGCCCGCACAAGCGGUGGAGUAUGUGGUUUAAUUCGAUGCAACGCGAAGAACCUUACCAGGGCUUGACAUGUCCGGAAUCUUGGUGAAAGCCGAGAGUA
rnacentral:rRNA from 2 species